rnacentral:tRNA from 1 species
GCCCUAGUAGCUCAGCGGUAGAGCUUCCUGACCCGGGGCCCGUUAGGGGCGCAAGGGAAUGACGCCGGUUCGAUUCCGGCCUGGGGCA